CCUGUUCUGAAGGGUCCAACUGAAGCCUCCUCUCUGCUCAUGGAGGGUCCAAUCAAUGCCUUCGUCCCUGCUCCGGCAUCUUCAACCUCAUCUCAGGUUUCUAGGAUCCAACUUUCUGCAGCUGAACCUGCCACGCCACGUCUCCAGCGUGCCACUUCUCCAGACGUCAGCAGUCCCCACGUCCACAGACUGCUCUUUCUGCAGUAACUGUAGGCAUAGCCGCAGCUAUCUGGUCAGCUGUAUUUGCUGCAGAGGCUUCCCUGAUGCGGGCUCCGUCAUCAUUAUCUUCACCGCCAUCUGCAUUUCCUGCUCUGUUAUCAUCCUCGUAUUCACCAUCUACAUUUCUAGCUCAGUGGUCAUCUACAGCUCUGGCCUCAUCGUUGCUAUCUACACUAGCUCCGCAAUCAUCAGCGCCUCACGUUCCGGUUCCAGAGGGGUUCAAGGACGAACCGCCUCGUGUUCCUGUGCAAAGAGAUGGCGCCUGAGCAUGGUGGUAGGAAGGGCUGUCAGGUGUAUCAUCUCACCUUAUCCACUGGUUUCAUUCCGCUAAGUUCUCAGCUCAUCCUGGUUCUAGUCACACUAUUGGACUCAUCUCCAGAUGUUUUUGGUGGCCCUCUCUUCACAAAGAUGUAAAGGAAUAUCUGCUUGAAUGCCUCAUCAGUGCCAGAAAAAAAUCCAUCCAUAAACCACCCGCGGGUCUUCUGCAGCCUCUCAGCAUACCAAAAAGACCUUGGUCCUAUAUCGCACUUGAUUUUGUCACCGGACUCCCCACAUCUCAAGAUUGCUCAAUUACUGGUGAAACCUGUAUUCAGACUCCAUGGCAUCCCCCAGGACAUCUUGUCAGACUGCAGACUUCAGUUCCUCGCACAGUCAAACGGACAGACAGAGCGGAUGAAUCAGGAACUUGAAUCCACCCUUAGAUGCCUCACCUCCACCAACCCAUCUGACUGGA